UAAAACAUAGUGUUAAUGCGCUCGAUCCCAUUAAAACUUUGCAGUUAAGUGUGCUCGAGCUAUAUUAGUAUUGGGAUGGGUGACCAGUCGAGAAGUCCUAGUGUUUUAC
rnacentral:rRNA from 1 species